rnacentral:rRNA from 1 species
GAUGAACGCUAGCGGCAGGCUUAAUACAUGCAAGUCGAGGGGCAGCGCAGUGUAGCAAUACAUGGGCGGCGACCGGCAAACGGGUGCGGAACACGUACGCAACCUACCCAGAACUGGAGGAUAGCCCGGGGAAACCCGGAUUAACACCUCAUAAGAUAGUGUAGUCGCAUCAAUCAGCUAUUAAAACUCAGGUGGUUUUGGAUGGGCGUGCGGCUGAUUAGGUAGGUGGCGGGGUAACGGCCCACAAAGCCUGCGAUCAGUAACUGGUGUGAGAGCACGACCAGUCACACGGGAACUGAGACACGGGCCCGACUCCUACGGGAGGCAGCAGUAAGGAAUAUUGGUCAAUGGACGCAAGUCUGAACCAGCCAUGCCGCGUGAAGGAUGAAGGUCCUCUGGAUUGUAAACGUCUUUUAUAGGGGACGAAACCCGGAUAUUCUUAUCCGAUUGACGGUACCCUGGGAAUAAGCACCGGCUAACUCCGUGCCAGCAGCCGCCGUAAGAC